rnacentral:sRNA from 1 species
AACACAUUUACUGCGGGCGGGGGUCUGAGGGCCUGCAAACAACUCCAACUGGAGCCUCGGCCAGGACUGGCGCGAGAGGCGCCGGAGCCCGGCCCAGUGCUCCAGAGAAAGGCCGGCCUGCAGCACCCGCCACCGUCGCCGGCCGCCUGCACGUCCGUCCGCCCCGUGACUGGCUGCAGUUUCCGCUGCGUUUCAGCUGAGCUGCCGCAGGCGGCCACCGCCGCCGCCCGGACGCCGGGACCGUUUCGCCCUCAGCGCCCCCGGCCCUGCGCCUUCCCCCGCGCCUGUAGCCACCCGAGGGCAGUCGGGGCAGGUGGCAGUCCGGACACCUGGGCUUACCAGGGCAUACGGGACCCCAGGAAAUGUUAUUUUUGCUUAAGUCAAAUCAUAUGUGGCUGCUAAGGUGCUUUCGAUGCAGUUUUUCCAACAAUCUUUGCCACCCCGAGUAUCUGAAUAAAGAAAGAAAAAUAAA